rnacentral:rRNA from 1 species
CAGCCGCCGCGGGAAUACGUAGGUCCCGAGCGUUGUCCGGACUUAUUGGGCGUAAAGCGAGCGCAGGCGGUUAGAUAAGUCUGAAGUUAAAGGCUGUGGCUUAACCAUAGUACGCUUUGGAAACUGUUUAACUUGAGUGCAAGAGGGGAGAGUGGAAUUCCAUGUGUAGCGGUGAAAUGCGUAGAUAUAUGGAGGAACACCGGUGGCGAGAGCGGCUCUCUGGCUUGUAACUGACGCUGAGGCUCGAAAGCGUGGGGAGCAAACAGGAUUAGAUACCCCAGUAGUCCCUGUCUCUUAUACU